AUUGAACGCUGGCGGCAUGCCUUACACAUGCAAGUCGAACGGCAGCAUGGAGAGCUUGCUCUCUGAUGGCGAGUGGCGAACGGGUGAGUAAUGCAUCGGAACGUACCGUGUAACGGGGGAUAACGUAGCGAAAGUUACGCUAAUACCGCAUACGACCUGAGGGUGAAAGCAGGGGAUCGCAAGACCUUGCGUUAUACGAGCGGCCGAUGUCAGAUUAGCUAGUUGGUGAGGUAAAGGCUCACCAAGGCGACGAUCUGUAGCGGGUCUGAGAGGAUGAUCCGCCACACUGGGACUGAGACACGGCCCAGACUCCUACGGGAGGCAGCAGUGGGGAAUUUUGGACUAUGGGGGCAACCCUGAUCCAGCCAUGCCGCGUGAGUGAAGAAGGCCUUCGGGUUGUAAAGCUCUUUCGGCCGGGAAGAAAUCGCACAGGCUAAUACUCUGUGUGGAUGACGGUACCGGCAUAAGAAGCACCGGCUAACUACGUGCCAGCAGCCGCAGUAA
rnacentral:rRNA from 1 species